rnacentral:rRNA from 1 species
AGUGAACGCUGGCGGUAGGCCUAACACAUGCAAGUCGAACGGCAGCACAGUAAGAGCUUGCUCUUACGGGUGGCGAGUGGCGGACGGGUGAGGAAUACAUCGGAAUCUACUUUUUCGUGGGGGAUAACGUAGGGAAACUUACGCUAAUACCGCAUACGACCUACGGGUGAAAGCAGGGGAUCUUCGGACCUUGCGCGAUUGAAUGAGCCGAUGUCGGAUUAGCUAGUUGCCGGGGUAAGGGCCCACCAAGGCGACGAUCCGUAGCUGGUCUGAGAGGAUGAUCAGCCACACUGGAACUGAGACACGGUCCAGACUCCUACGGGAGGCAGCAGUGGGGAAUAUUGGACAAUGGGCGCAAGCCUGAUCCAGCCAUACCGCGUGGGUGAAGAAGGCCUUCGGGUUGUAAAGCCCUUUUGUUGGGAAAGAAAAGCAGCAGGUUAAUACCCCGCUGUUCUGACGGUACCCAAAGAAUAAGCACCGGCUAACUUCGUG